GGGUUGCAAAUUGGCAGAUUUAUAGCUUCAGUAUAAAAACUAAAGACAGACCAGUGGCUGACUGGAGUUUCAGAACUGAUACCACCCUGUGACUGAAUAAAUGCAGGGGAAUUAAGGCCGAUUUUCCCUCCCCCCGACUUUUACCCCCAUUAAGAAAUGCAGAGGUUGGCUGUGGUUCAACUUUUUUUUUUUUUUUCUCUCACCAGUGCAUGACCUUCUUGGAUACAGACAAGUAAAAUUCACGGGAACAGGAGUCUGUGACGAUCUGAAGUACUGUAAGUCAGAUUCCUCUGUUGCAUGGCAUUCUCCAUGUGUGGCAGUGUCAGAGGUUAAGGAAUGGAGUGGGAUCAGGGAUGAAGCUCUGCUCAGAACGUGUGAUGUACAGUAGGCUAGCAAAAGAAGAGGUGUUUUUUUUAAAUAACAGAAACAAAGCAGCGGGAAGAAGAGAAUGAACCAUCUGGAAGCUGAAGCUGGAGAUGGAGCUCAUGCAGGAGUGACUGAUAAUGGCCCCAGAUGCCCCCACACCGGGCCAGUGCUCUCACAGAUCACACCGUUAUCAAGUGCAUAUCUGCAGUUGUUUCACUGGUGUGGAAAAGCCUUUCUUUUGCUGUUAAAAUAACUGGUUGUUUCAGGACUGUGCUGUACUUGUUACUUGUUAGUUAAAGGGUGAGAACAUAAGUGAACUUGUAGGCACAGAAGGCCUUUUAAUUCCUCUUCAAAAAGAAAUUUAUGUCUUUAUUUAAAUGAUAAAACCAGUCAAUAUCUCUUUCAGACACACCAGACACACAAAAUGCCAAAUAAAGUUUUCUUGGCCUGUUGUAUUGCUUCAGUUAUGACAAGCAUGACUGGCUGUUUAAGAAUCAAUAUACAUGUUCUUUGCAGUUUUGUGGUCCCUUUUGAAAUACUUUUUCCAAUAUUUAUUUAAUUUUUAAAAACUAUUUUGAAAGGCAGGAUUGUGACCCUCCGUUUUACUGUUGUUAUAAUGACUAACAUAAAAUUCCUUUAAAGAGGCUUAAGCAGUCCAAGAAACAGUUUUUACUUUAAGCUUCAUGGGGGAUGUUUGGUGGACAGAUAAUAGCAAGGCCAUUUCAGUUUUUUUUUUUUACAACUGAAAGGUAUAUUACAAAAUCCAGAAUGUGCUACACAAUUGGUCUCACAAUGCCUUGUGAAUAGGACAUCUUUAUCGGAGAAAAGUUUUUGAUGUAUUUGUACCUUGAUAUUUCCCUCCUAAAAUUACUUGCAUUGCUGUGUACAACUUAAUUAUAGUUACUGAAUUUAAAGUUAAAUUAAACAUUUCAGUAAUGUAUUUUAUUUAGUUACAGGUGCUACAUAGAUAUCAGUAAUGGUAGCUGAUUUGCAGGUUCAUGGCUAUGUUCUAUAAACUAUAUUAUAUGAGCAGGACGCACUGUCAUCACUGAGAGAUACUGUACAUAUCUCUCUUUCAAAUUGUGCAAGCUGGGCUGUAGUACUGUGUGACGUGCAGUUUGUGUGUUUCGGGGGAACAUUUGCUCAUGUUUCACCUGUAGUUCUCAUUGCUUUUACAGAAUAAAACUACAGAAGAUGUAACAGAAUAUAUUUGCCAGUCCACCUCUCUGAGGAAGGGCUACAAUAUGAAUGCAUCGGAUUAGCUCAUCUUUCACAACAGCCUCACAAUUAAUACACCUGGAGCAAAUUAUGGGGCAUCAGGACACUGUAUGGAAAUGUGACUGCUCUCAUAGUUUCUGCCAUUAGCCUUAUUUCUGCUUGAUCUAGUUUCAUCAUAAUACUUUUGUUUCUUUUGUUUUGUGCAAUGUGUGGGUAAAGUUGUUUAAGUCGCUCUGGAUAUGGGCAUCUGCUAAAUGCCUGUAAUACAAUGUAAUAUAAUGUAAUGGGUACCUACAAUGGGUUUGUCCUUAUACUGUAUUGUGGAGUGUGAUAUAGACAUCCCUUUCAGAGCAUUAUUAAGUCUGAGGUGGGGUUGUACUGCUUUUCAGAACGGCGUAAAGAUAUUUCAGGCCUCAGCAGACAGGUGAAUACAGGAAAUGCAUCACAAGGCUUCCUGAUUGUCAAGCAAUUGGAGAAAGAUAGAAGGCCACUACAAUUACUGUAGAGCAGAAUUCAAACGCACAGGAUUCUGGGAGCCGAGGGGCAGAAAGCAAAGAGGCACAGUGACAUACUUGUUGAGUUUUCCAGACAAACCUUCGCCUCAGCUCAUUAAAGUACUGAAACAAUAUGGUAAAACAGUAACUAGACUGUAGUACACCGCAAGAAUUAAAAUACUUGAAAUUUUAAUUUAAAAUUAAAUUCCCAUUCCCAGGUAAAGGGUAGAUAUGUGCUAUUUUGGGAGCAACAAUAUAGGUAAAGGAUGGAGCUGACUCGAAGUGGAUUUAGGAGAGAUUUGAGUGGAUUCCAUGAAGCUAGAGCGAUGUUCAUUUUCCCUCAUUUCUCCAACAUAUAAAUGUAGUGUCCAUUCUAUGGACUGGUCAUUGUUUUAAAACAUUAUGACCAAUCAAACGAUUCAAUGCUAUUUGUUCAGUGUUGUCACUGUAUAUGAUUACAUUAAACAUUGUAUGUUUGAUUAACAAUGUGUUUUAUAAAGACUAUUUAGAUUUGAAAAGCCUAAAUAUGUAAGCUGAUAUAUAUAUGUAAGGCUAUGUUAUUACGUACAUGUGAGUUCAUGUACGUAAUUUAUGGAUAAGUGAACAAAUCCUGACCUUACCUCUACAUGGUACUAAGUUAAACAACAUAUUUCUACAAAGUGUAAUAGAUGUUUACUCUUUGUUUGCAUGUACGGUAUUACAGGUUCAAAAUAAUAAACUGAAGUGAAAAUGGCAUGUGUAAAUGUUUGGGAAAUAAAACAGUGAGCAGACAUUUCCUGUA